rnacentral:sRNA from 1 species
GUGAAGAGUGGUCUCAGGGCUGAUUUGGUGAUGGUCU